GUGUAGAUUUGUCAUUCCAUGCCAACUACAUAUCCCAAUUCAUUGCAAGAGAUAAUGAGAGUAUCUUCCUCACAGUGAGUGCAUGGAAUUGGAUACAAGCUUCUGCAACCUUUGUCUUAAUUAGAGCCUGGUAUUGGUCAUGUUGCAUAAGGAUACCUUCACACACAAUACAAAAAAAAGAUCCAAAACUUACCAUGUGGAAAUGGAUUCUCUUCAGGGGCCACAUUUGUCUCUUCAAGUUCUCAAAGGUCACUAUCAGUUUCAAUUAGCAUCAGAACAGAAAGAAGGGCCACCUAGAAGAAAGGGGCAUGCCCAAGCCUAAAUCUAUGUAAUAAACAUAUGUUUCUAAUUACAAUAGGAAGAAGAAAACAAGACACAUAGCAGUGUCCUCAAAGCUAAUUUGUGCAUUUCAGAAACAAAGAAGAGCCAUUGAGAAAUAAAACUUCCUUUAAUCAAGUGUAUGAUACUGUAAGUGGCAAGAAUGCACAUUACCAAUUUCUUCUCCUAGCAUAAAUAUCCAAAUAUUAACUUCAAAUGCACUGCAAAUAGUUCUUUAAAGCACUUAAACCAUUAUGUUCCGAGAAUUGAAUGCUCGAAUUUAAGAGCGAUCGCUAUAAGCAUCUGGAUAGACGAGCUUUUAUCUGGAUGCAUCUUAUAUAUCUGAAUUAUGAAUCAACUGCUUGUUAGAGAUUCCAAAUAACAAUUUGCAUUUCAACAAGAUGCUCCAUCUUGCUGAUAUUGAAC
rnacentral:lncRNA from 1 species